rnacentral:rRNA from 1 species
UACGGAGGGAGCUAGCGUUGUUCGGAUAUACUGGGCGUAAAGCGCACGUAGGCGGCGCAGCAAGUCAGGGGUGAAAUCCCGGGGCUCAACCCCGGAACUGCCUCUGAAACUGCAGUGCUAGAAUCUUGGAGAGGCGAGUGGAAUUCCGAGUGUAGAGGUGAAAUUCGUAGAUAUUCGGAAGAACACCAGUGGCGAAGGCGACUCGCUGGACAAGUAUUGACGCUGAGGUGCGAAAGCGUGGGGAGCAAACAGGG